AGCGGCGGACGGGUGAGUAACACGUGGGUAACCUGCCUGUAAGACUGGGAUAACUCCGGGAAACCGGGGGCUAAAACCGGAUGGUUGUUUGAACCGCAUGGUUCAGACAUAAAAGGUGGCUUCGGCUACCACUUACAGAUGGACCCGCGGCGCAUUAGCUAGUUGGUGAGGUAACGGCUCACCAAGGCAACGAUGCGUAGCCGACCUGAGAGGGUGAUCGGCCACACUGGGACUGAGACACGGCCCAGACUCCUACGGGAGGCAGCAGUAGGGAAUCUUCCGCAAUGGACGAAAGUCUGACGGAGCAACGCCGCGUGAGUGAUGAAGGUUUUCGGAUCGUAAAGCUCUGUUGUUAGGGAAGAACAAGUGCCGUUCAAAUAGGGCGGCACCUUGACGGUACCUAACCAGAAAGCCACGGCUAACUACGUGCCAGCAGCCGCGGUAAUACGUAGGUGGCAAGCGUUGUCCGGAAUUAUUGGGCGUAAAGGGCUCGCAGGCGGUUUCUUAAGUCUGAUGUGAAAGCCCCCGGCUCAACCGGGGAGGGUCAUUGGAAACUGGGGAACUUGAGUGCAGAAGAGGAGAGUGGAAUUCCACGUGUAGCGGUGAAAUGCGUAGAGAUGUGGAGGAACACCAGUGGCGAAGGCGACUCUCUGGUCUGUAACUGACGCUGAGGAGCGAAAGCGUGGGGAGCGAACAGGAUUAGAUACCCUGGUAGUCCACGCCGUAAACGAUGAGUGCUAAGUGUUAGGGGGUU
rnacentral:rRNA from 1 species